CCUUACUAAGGAAUAUCUGUUAAAAAGUUUGAGGUUUUAAAUAAGAAGAGUCUGUUUCUUAAAUAUUAGGAUUCAAAGUUAUGGAAGAAUGUGAACAUCAAAUAGAGGAGUAUUUAAAAGCACUUGAAUGUCUCAUCCACUUGGAGCUAAUCACUUGGUUUUGAUACCGCUUAGGAGGCAGAUCAUCCAAUACACUUUGGGAAAAUGGGGAGAUGGCCUUCUCAGGUCUUCUACCCCCCUGCUCCAUAGGAGUACGAAGGAAGGCUCGAGGACGCCUCGUCGGAGAAACAGCAAUUGGAGGAAAAUAGGCAUGUUCCUCUUCUUCUAGUUCCUUUC